CCUGGCGACGAGUGGCGAACGGGUGAGUAAUAUAUCGGAACGUGCCCAGUUGUGGGGGAUAACUACUCGAAAGAGUGGCUAAUACCGCAUGAGACCUGAGGGUGAAAGCGGGGGACUCGCAAGAGCCUCGCGCAGUUGGAGCGGCCGAUAUCAGAUUAGCUAGUUGGCGGGGUAAAAGCCCACCAAGGCAACGAUCUGUAGCUGGUCUGAGAGGACGACCAGCCACACUGGGACUGAGACACGGCCCAGACUCCUACGGGAGGCAGCAGUGGGGAAUUUUGGACAAUGGACGCAAGUCUGAUCCAGCCAUGCCGCGUGCGGGAAGAAGGCCUUCGGGUUGUAAACCGCUUUUGUCAGGGAAGAAACGGCUCGGGUUAAUACCUUGGGCUAAUGACGGUACCUGAAGAAUAAGCACCGGCUAACUACGUGCCAGCAGCCGCGGUAAUACGUAGGGUGCAAGCGUUAAUCGGAAUUACUGGGCGUAAAGCGUGCGCAGGCGGUUAUGCAAGACAGAUGUGAAAUCCCCGGGCUCAACCUGGGAACUGCAUUUGUGACUGCAUGGCUAGAGUACGGUAGAGGGGGAUGGAAUUCCGCGUGUAGCAGUGAAAUGCGUAGAUAUGCGGAGGAACACCGAUGGCGAAGGCAAUCCCCUGGAC
rnacentral:rRNA from 1 species